GACGAACGCUGGCGGCGUGCUUAACACAUGCAAGUCGAACGGAAAGGCCCUGCUUUUGUGGGGUGCUCGAGUGGCGAACGGGUGAGUAACACGUGAGUAACCUGCCCUUGACUUUGGGAUAACUUCAGGAAACUGGGGCUAAUACCGGAUAGGAGCUCCUGCUGCAUGGUGGGGGUUGGAAAGUUUCGGCGGUUGGGGAUGGACUCGCGGCUUAUCAGCUGGUUGGUGGGGUAGUGGCUUUCCAAGGCUUUGACGGGUAGCCGGCCUGAGAGGGUGGCCGGCCACAUUGGGACUGAGAUACGGCCCAGACUCCUACGGGAGGCAGCAGUGGGGAAUAUUGCACAAUGGGCGGAAGCCUGAUGCAGCAACGCCGCGUGCGGAAUGACGGCCUUCGGGUUGUAAACCGCUUUCGCCUGUGACGAAGCGUGAGUGACGGUAAUGGGUAAAGAAGCACCGGCUAACUACGUG
rnacentral:rRNA from 1 species